CAGAACGUCGUGAGACAGUUCGGUCUCUAUCUGUAGUGGGCGUUAGAAAUUUGAGUGGACCUGACUCUAGUACGAGAGGACCGAGUUGGACCAACCUCUGGUGUAUCUGUUGUUCCGCCAGGAGCACUGCAGAGUAGCUACGUUGGGAAGGGAUAAGCGCUGAAAGCAUAUAAGCGCGAAACCCACCACAAGAUGAGAUUUCUUUAAAGGACCGUGGGAGACGACCACGUUGAUAGGCUACAGGUGUAAAGGCAGUAAUGUCAUAGC
rnacentral:rRNA from 13 species